ACUUUUAUAUUUUUACUGCAGGCUAUUGUUUAAAUAGACCUGGCAUCACUGAUGCUGAAAUGAUUCAUUCAUACAAUGAGGUAUAUAUAGGUGUGGCAGAACACACGGUUUGCUAGUGUUGGCAACCAAAAAUAUGUAAACAAUCCAGAAGCACAACGGGUCGACGUCAUAGCGGUCACACGAUUCAAUGGGAGCGGAACGACCGCUAUGACGAAAGCAAGUCGAUUUAUACUGUGAUCACUCACACAACUCAUGUACGAUUCAUCUUACGAAUACCAAAGUGCCAUCUUUGCCAGACCUGUAUAUACGACAUUGUCAUUCAUAUACCUGUCAAAAAUAUAGAGCAUUGUAGGAAAAUGUAUAACCUCACUUUUCUGACAGUUCGGUGUGCUUGUUUACCUAACACUUGUUUACACGGACUUUUAAAAUUUCUACAGAAAAUUUAGAAUAGGACUUUUUUCAUGAAGAUACAUCAGCGAUUUAGAUUCUAAACUUUUUUUUCAAUAUUACCAAUGAAAUUAGAUGAAUAGUUCUCGGCUCGAUCUUCGAAUCGGUUAAGGUAUUCGCGGAGUGAAAAACUAAUCCAGCGUCGAUGUAUCGAUAAUCGGCAUAGAUUGAUUAUUCACCAGUGAUUAUAGAACCAAAUUUGCCUGGAAGCCAACACAAGCAGAAUCUACCUCGACUGAACAUUCGGUACUCGAAAUAUUUUCAUUGACAUAUUUUCAAUUUCGACGAAAUAUUAUAGAGACGUUGUCUCGAAUGGAUGCGACAGCUCUACCGAGAAAAUCACAAUAUGAACUGCAAUUCGGAACAUUUACUCCAAGCAUCCAUUUCAAGGGAACCUGCCGCAAAUCCGCUUACCCGAUCUGGAACAAGCUGCGUUGACUCAAAAUACUAUUUUCGAUCAAAACUUUAUGGCAGGUUUAUCACUGGAGUGGACAUUGGUGGUAUGGAUGAGCCUUGUGAUACGUCUGUGAAUCUUCUGCUAUCUGAACGAUGCAUUAUUUGUCACGAUUUGCUUGGUCGACAAAUCUGCGAAAAACUUGAUUUUUCAGCAUUGAGGCGUAAACAAGAGCAGAAUUCCUAAAUACGUUGGUGAAGCCAGUUGAAAAUUUUAGUGGAAGGCAAUCCAAUAUAAGUGAUAGGAACGCCCAUCAAGGAGGCACAAAUCUCCAAAUAACAUGGGAAACCUGCCAAGCGAGCCAAUAGCCAAUUUCAUGCUACUUGCAGGUUGCACAGUCAAGGUUAAACCUCAGCGCCUCAAUCAAUCAGAUAUAAAACUAAAUUAAUAAAAUACUUUACUAUACUGACAUGUAAACAACCUCAAUGCUUGUUAAUGAAAUGCUAGAAAAAUAAUCAAAAGCGGCUUUUGGAAUUCA